rnacentral:rRNA from 1 species
UACGAAGGGGGCUAGCGUUGCUCGGAAUGACUGGGCGUAAAGGGCGCGUAGGCGGAUGGCACAGUCAGAUGUGAAAUUCCCGGGCUUAACCUGGGGGCUGCAUUUGAUACGUGUUGUCUUGAGUUCGGAAGAGGGUCGUGGAAUUCCCAGUGUAGAGGUGAAAUUCGUAGAUAUUUGGAAGAACACCGGUGGCGAAGGCGGCGACCUGGUCCGACACUGACGCUGAGGCGCGAAAGCGUGGGGAGCAAACAGG